rnacentral:rRNA from 1 species
GGGUCCCAGGGCGCGGGAGCCCCCCCGGCCGCUAGUGGCGAACGGGUGAGUAAUACAUCGGAACGUGCCCAAUCGUGGGGGAUAACGCACCGAAAGCUGUGCUAAUACCGCAUACGAUCUACGGAUGAAAGCAGGGGAUCGCAAGACCUUGCGCGAAUGGAGCGGCCGAUGGCAGAUUAGGUAGUUGGUGAGGUAAAGGCUCACCAAGCCUUCGAUCUGUAGCUGGUCUGAGAGGACGACCAGCCACACUGGGACUGAGACACGGCCCAGACUCCUACGGGAGGCAGCAGUGGGGAAUUUUGGACAAUGGGCGCAAGCCUGAUCCAGCCAUGCCGCGUGCAGGAUGAAGGCCUUCGGGUUGUAAACUGCUUUUGUACGGAACGAAACGGCUCUUUCUAAUAAAGAGGGCUAAUGACGGUACCGUAAGAAUAAGCACCGGCUAACUACGUGCCAGCAGCCGCGGUAAUACGUAGGGUGCAAGCGUUAAUCGGAAUUACUGGGCGUAAAGCGUGCGCAGGCGGUGAUGUAAGACAGUUGUGAAAUCCCCGGGCUCAACCUGGGAACUGCAUCUGUGACUGCAUCCUGGAGUACGGCAGAGGGGGAUGGAAUUCCGCGUGUACAGUGAAAUGCGUAAUAUGCGGAGGAACACCGAUGGCGAGGCAUCCCCUGGGCCUGUACUGACCUCAUGCAC